GAUGAAGAACGUAGCGAAAUGCGAUAAGUAAUGUGAAUUGCAGAAUUCAGUGAAUCAUCGAAUCUUUGAACGCACCUUGCGCCUUUUGGUAUUCCGAAAGGCACACCUGUUUGAGCGUCAUGAAUACCUCAAUCUCCAUCUUUUCUUCGGAUUGAUGGGUGACUUGGAUGUUGAGCCCUGCUGGUAUGCUAUAUCAGCUGGCUUUAAACUUAUUAGCCGGCUCUGUACUGGAUCGGUUUGACUCGACGUGAUAAUAUUAUCGUUGAGGAUGCAUGUCUCAUGCAGCCGGAAAGUAUCAAAGCAGCUUCUAGCUUGCCUAUAGUGCACUUUUACAUUUUAGACCUCAGAUCAGGUGGGACUACCCGCUGAACUUAAGCAUAUCAAUAAGCGGAGGA
rnacentral:misc_RNA from 1 species